CUCCAGGUUAGCUGACUCCUGACUCCAGGUUAGCUGACUCCAGGUUAGCUGACUCCUGACACCAGGUUAGCUGACUCCUGACUCCAGGUUAGCUGACUCCAGGUUAGCUGACUCCUGACUCCAGGUUAGCUGAC